rnacentral:rRNA from 1 species
GAUGAACGCUAGCUACAGGCUUAACACAUGCAAGUCGAGGGGUAACGAGAGGGAAGCUUGCUUUCCUUGUCGACGACCGGCGCACGGGUGAGUAACGCGUAUCCAACCUGCCCCCAACUAGGGAAUAACCUUGCGAAAGUAAGACUAAUACCCUAUAAUUUCCUCAGAUGUCAUCUGACGAGGAAUAAAGAUUUAUCGGUUGUGGAUGGGGAUGCGUCUGAUUAGCUUGUUGGCGGGGUAACGGCCCACCAAGGCAACGAUCAGUAGGGGUUCUGAGAGGAAGGUCCCCCACAUUGGAACUGAGACACGGUCCAAACUCCUACGGGAGGCAGCAGUGAGGAAUAUUGGUCAAUGGGCGGAAGCCUGAACCAGCCAAGUAGCGUGCAGGAUGACGGCCCUAUGGGUUGUAAACUGCUUUUAUACAGGAAUAAAGUUAGCCACGUGUGGUUAUUUGUAGGUACUGUAUGAAUAAGGACCGGCUAAUUCCGUGCCAGCAGCCGCCGUAA